rnacentral:snRNA from 1 species
GCGCACUUUGGCAGCACACAUACUAAAACUGGAACAAUACAGAGAAGAUUAGCACGGCCCUUGUGCAAGAUGACACGAAAGUUCAUGAAGUGCUCCAUACUUAA